GCUUUCUAAAAAAUGUCACUAUAGAUCAAACAUUAGCUACGCUUUUUUUUAAACACCUCCAAAAAUUAAGCAAAACUUCGUCUUGUUUUGCCCAAAUUAAAACACAGAAGUCCCUAAUACCCGAAAUCCCUUACUUUUUUCCCAAUUUUAUUUGCCCCAAGUCUCUCUCAAUCUUCAUUUUGCUCUCUCUCGAAGCAAAAUCGAAAAAUGGGGCAGAUUCAAUACUCCGAGAAAUACUUCGAUGAUACUUAUGAGUACAGUGUACAGGCAUGUUGUUCUCCCUCCUGAAGUGGCCAAACUUCUCCCCAAGAACCGCCUACUCUCUGAAGUAUUUUUUUAGGGUUUUACAUAUGUCACUGUUUGUAACUUAUUUUUGUAUUUUUACAGAAAUGUCCAUCUUUUUAACGCAGUUUUGUUUAAUUUAAUAAUUUCCUCAAGUUUUCAUCUGAAAUAGUUUGCUUUGUCGGUUGUCUAUUCAGGAAAUUAAUUAUUUAUGACCAUAAUUUACGAGUUUUGAUUUUGAUUUUAAUUGUUUAUGAUUUAUGAAAUGUAAAUAAUUGUCUCGCAAUUAAACAACUCAUUGCCUUCAGUACUUGCUUGUUUUUUGUCCCAAUUUUCUAUCUUUUCAUAGUAGCUUGAGUUCGCAGAUGCUUGUUUCACGAAUGUGAUUUUGUGUUGUAGGCAACUAAUUGUUCCUAUACUUGCCCAAAUGCAUAACUUGAGACUUCUUCCUUUUAUGAUUCUUGUCCUAUAGGAUGAGUUUCUUGGUUUUUUAAAGUAUGAAUGAAAGAGAAAAGGCUCAAAAUUGUGUUGUAGGAGACUAGUUGUUCGUAUGCACUUGUACCAUGUAAAUGCUAAGCUGACUUCUUCCUCUUACUGCAUAUGUGUGUAUGUUGAGAUGUGUUUCUUACUUCUUUUUCUUUCCUUUUAACUCCCUAUUCUAAAUCUAGACUAUCUAUGGUUCUAUGUGUAAGAGUUGCGUUGCUUUGUUCGUCUCGUUGUCAUGACUUGGUACUCUUAAAUAUGUGUCUCUGCUUGCCCUAUUCGCAUCUAUCUUUUGUUUCUCCUAAAACAUUGACUGGAACUACAAUCUACCAAGUUUAUUUCACGCAUGGAGGAAGAACUCAUUUAUUCUUAUCUUCUACUUGUGUAUUCAUACAAUCUUAUUGGUUCUCCGUUUCUUACAUGGAACUAUAAUCUGCCAAGCUUGUGAUCUGUUUUUCACCAUGCAUGAGUGUGAACUGUGAAUACAGCUAAUAAAUAUUUUAAACUAUUGAAUGUACCUGUAGAAGAAUACAUAUGAUUUUGAAAUUUUAACCACCAGCUUGUUUAAUGGUGUUUAAUUUAAUUUUCCUUUUUCCUGUUUAGACUGGAAUAGUAUCUUUUACUGACUUGUUGGAGCAGAUGGGCUAAAAUAUUCUUUUACUUGCUUUUAUAUCAUUUAAUAUUUGAUAUAAUAUGGCAUUGACACAAAGUAGCGGACUUCAUGUCUCUUCAUACUCCCGUGUGCGUGUAGUGGAUGUAUAAAUUUGUUAGAUGUGAAGAAGAUCUGUUGAAAUUUAGCUUCAAGAUUAGUAGCAGCAUCUCUCUCUUCUGUCUCUAUCUCAUACAGGCAAGAAGUAUUACGGAGAGAUAUUUGCAGCUUAUUAAGAGAGUAAGAUGGCAUCCAAUUUCACAGCCAUGUCAUCAGUUGGCUCAUUCGUUGCACCUAACGGUCUGGUCAUGGAUAAGAAGCUUAUAUCUUCUUCCAACAUAUUGUCAUCUUUAGCAU